GACGAACGCUGGCGGCGUGCCUAAUACAUGCAAGUAGAACGCACAGGAUGCACCGUAGUUUACUACACCGUAUUCUGUGAGUUGCGAACGGGUGAGUAACGCGUAGGUAACCUGCCUGGUAGCGGGGGAUAACUAUUGGAAACGAUAGCUAAUACCGCAUAAGAACAUUUACUGCAUGGUAGAUGUUUAAAAGGUGCAAGAGCAUCACUACCAGAUGGACCUGCGUUGUAUUAGCUAGUUGGUGAGGUAACGGCCCACCAAGGCAACGAUACAUAGCCGACCUGAGAGGGUGAUCGGCCACACUGGGACUGAGACACGGCCCAGACUCCUACGGGAGGCAGCAGUAGGGAAUCUUCGGCAAUGGGGGGAACCCUGACCGAGCAACGCCGCGUGAGUGAAGAAGGUUUUCGGAUCGUAAAGCUCUGUUGUUAAGGAAGAACGUGUGUGAGAGUGGAAAGUUCACACA
rnacentral:rRNA from 1 species